rnacentral:rRNA from 1 species
ACAAAACCCAUAUUUAACAUUGAGCCUAUUUAUAACCAUAUAAUUAAGUUAAUGCUAGAACUAGUAAUAAGAAUUAGAAAUUCUCUACCGCAUAAGUGUAAGUCAAUAUAACAACUACUGACAUUCACCGAUAAGUAAAAUAAAAAUUAAACAAGGACACUUUACUCUAACUUAUCGUUAAUCCAACACAGGAGCGCGUACAGAAAGACAUAAAGAUAGAGAAGGAAUUCAGCAAACAUUAAGCUCCGCCUGUUUACCAAAAACAUCACCUCUAGCAAUCAAAACAUAUAUUAGAGGCAUCGCCUGCCCAGUGAUAUAUCAUUAAACGGCCGCGGUACCCUGACCGUGCUAAGGUAGCAUAAUCACUUGUCUUUUAAAUAAAGACUAGAAUGAACGGCCAAACGAGAACUUAACUGUCUCCUCUAUCUAGUCAACGAAACUGAUCUAUCAGUACAAAAGCUGAUAUAUAAUUAUAAGACGAGAAGACCCUAUGAAGCUUUAAACCACGCAAACAACUGUUAUUUACAAAAAUUUACAAUUAUGAUUAUGCUGCUUUUGGUUGGGGCGACCACGGAGAAAAUAAAACCUCCGAGACUACUAAAUCUAGACUGACAUGUCAAACAAUAAAAAUUUUACAACUUGACCCAAUUUAUUGACUAACGAAAUAAGUUACUCUAGGGAUAACAGCGCAAUCUUCUUCAAGAGCCCCUAUCGACAAGAAGGUUUACGACCUCGAUGUUGGAUCAGGAUAUCCUAACAGU